GACGAACGCUGGCGGCGUGCUUAACACAUGCAAGUCGUACGGUAAGGCCCUUUCGGGGGUACACGAGUGGCGAACGGGUGAGUAACACGUGAGUAACCUGCCCACAACUUUGGGAUAACGCUAGGAAACUGGUGCUAAUACUGGAUAUGUGCCCCUGCUGCAUGGUGGGGGUUGGAAAGCUCCGGCGGUUGUGGAUGGACUCGCGGCCUAUCAGCUUGUUGGUGGGGUAGUGGCCUACCAAGGCGGCGACGGGGAGCCGGCCUGGGAGGGUGACCGGCCACAUCUGGACUGAGAUACGGCCCAGACUCCUACGGGAGGCAGCAGUGGGGAAUAUUGCACCAUGGGCGCAAGCCUGAUGCAGCAACGCCGCGUGCAGGAUGACGGCCUUCGGGUUGUAAACCGCUUUCAGCAGGGACGAAGCGUUUUGUGACGGUACCUGCAGAAGAAGCACCGGCUAACUACGUG
rnacentral:rRNA from 1 species